rnacentral:rRNA from 1 species
GACGAACGCUGGCGGCGUGCUUAACACAUGCAAGUCGAACGAAGAGCGAUGGAAGCUUGCUUCUAUCAAUCUUAGUGGCGAACGGGUGAGUAACGCGUAAUCAACCUGCCCCUCAGAGGGGGACAACAGUUGGAAACGACGGCUAAUACCGCAUACGAUCUAAUCUCGGCAUCGAGGAGAGAUGAAAGGUGGCCUCUACAAGUAAGCUAUCACUGAAGGAGGGGAUUGCGGCUGGUUAGAUCGCUGGAGGGGUAACGGCCCACCAAGGCGAUGAAUGGUAGCCGGUCUGAGAUGAUGUACGGCCACAUUGGGACUACUACACGGCCCAGACUCCUUCGGGUGGCAGCAGUGGUGAAUCUUCCGCAAUGGCCGCAAGUCUGUCGGAGCAACGCCGCGUGAGUGAUGACAGCCUUCGCGUUGUAAAUCUCUGUUAUUCUGGACGAACGGUCUUUUUGCGAAUAGUGAGAAGGAUUGACGGUACCGGAAUAGAAAGCCACGGCUAACUACGUG